rnacentral:rRNA from 1 species
AAGUAAAAGUCGUAACA